GACGAACGCUGGCGGCGUGCUUAACACAUGCAAGUCGAACGAUGAAGCUAGAGCUUGCUCUGGUGGAUUAGUGGCGAACGGGUGAGUAACACGUGAGUAACCUGCCCCGAACUCUGGGACAACUGCUGGAAACGGUAGCUAAUACCGGAUAUGACCAAUGAAGGCAUCUUCUGUUGGUGGAAAGAAUUUCGGUUCGGGAUGGACUCGCGGCCUAUCAGCUUGUUGGUGAGGUAACGGCUCACCAAGGCGACGACGGGUAGCCGGCCUGAGAGGGUGAUCGGCCACACUGGGACUGAGACACGGCCCAGACUCCUACGGGAGGCAGCAGUGGGGAAUAUUGCACAAUGGGCGCAAGCCUGAUGCAGCAACGCCGCGUGAGGGACGACGGCCUUCGGGUUGUAAACCUCUUUUAGUAGGGAAGAAGCGAAAGUGACGGUACCUGCAGAGAAAGCACCGGCUAACUACGUGCCAGCCGCCGCAGUAA
rnacentral:rRNA from 1 species